rnacentral:tRNA from 1 species
GCCCUCAUAGCUCAAUCGGAUAGAGCAACGGAUUUCUAAUCCGUAGGUUGUAGGUUCGAUUCCUACUGGGGGUG